rnacentral:SRP_RNA from 1 species
GCCGGGAGUUAGUGGCGUGCUUCUGCAAUCCAGCUACUUGGAGGCCGGGUGCAGCGGAUGACUCUGAUCGUGUAAUUCGGAUCCUGCUUGUUGCGCAUUGUUUUAAAACGGUCGACGGGACACCCUGACCCAGCGUUUCCGCCGGCCGACAGGGUAUUUAGGGACUUGUUCCCGAUGCGCGGCGGUUGAGGGACGUUUUUCCCGAUUGCAGACGAAGAGUCAGACCUGUACCUUA